rnacentral:lncRNA from 1 species
AUGUCUUUGGAAAUAUUGAGCUGCGCUGGUGCAGUUCUCGAUUAUUACAGUGGCCGUAGAAGGGAAAGAGUCCAACACUAUAGAAACCAAAUCCAUCCAUCCACAAGCAUCUUAUAUCUCUAUCAAAGCCGAGCGCCCGUCAUGUUCUCUGGAAAAAAAAAAAGAAUUAGUGUGGAGUCGGUCGAAAUGUUGGGAAUAACAUCACGACCUCUUCCGAGAGACUGGUCUCGACAAUACCAUCUUCUCCUCAUAUUUACACACCUUGGUCUCUCUCUCUCACACACACGCACACACUCACUUUCAAUGCCACGAAUUUGCUUCAGCGGGAACCCUCAGCGUCAGAGUGAGGCAUCAUAGGAUUCAUCUCAUUUCUCCACAGGCUCAAUGGUAGAAACAGAGCUGACGGAGAAGCUUUGUACAGUUUUUAGUGCAAUCGUACUUAUUAAUUAUCUGACAACUCGACACUUAAGUACAACAGAUGCUCACACACAUGUACAGACACACACACACACACACACUCCAGUUGUAAAGGAUGUGCAUCGAUUCAUCACUUGAUGUGUAGAAAAACGUAACAGAAAACGAACAGACUCUCGUUAUUAAUAAUGUCAAUUACUGUAAAGACCCCAUGAGACAGAAGUAAGUGAUGAGGAAGAGUGAUAAAUGAAAAAAAGUUAUGUGACUAGAGUGAUGGAAGUGGUUUGGAUAGAGAUUGUGAUUACUGAGUAUUUUGUAAUGAAUGCAAAUACACAAUUUUAACUCUUCUUCAACUACUGUACCUUAACAUCUAUCAUGCUGAUGGAAAAGCUGAAGUAGAAAGACUUGAUGAAAGAACAGUGUGGAAAGCAACAGCAAGCGUCUGAAUCACACUGAAGAAAUCCUCCUUCUCCACUGUUGUUUACAGCAAGAAUGGAGGAAAAAAAUGCCUUCAACAACGUCUCGACUCAACUUGUUUUUUUCUUUUUUUUUUCUUCAUGGGGUCUUUAAAUUGCAUCUAUCCUCACUAAAUCAGAAAUAAUAACAUUGGUGAUUUCUCUCGGUCUCACGAGAUGUUUAACAUCGUUACAACACGAAGGUCUCACAUAUAUUAACACAUUGCACUGUACAAACAUGUGACUCGUGUUCAGUGUUCGAAAGAGCAUGAAAAAAAGACAAUGGAGAGAGAGAAAAAAGGGGGGAGUUUUAGGAACAGUAUCAAUCUGCAACACCUGCCUAAGCCUUCCUCUGCCUGAUCGUGUAACUCGAGAACUCUCGACUUUGAAACUACAUUUCCUUUAUUGACUUCACUUACAUCUCACUCCGCCGCCCGACCGGAUCUCAUCCCACUGCACCCUUCGCCUCCUCCUCACUUCUCUUCAUGUUACACAUACAUACAGACAUACAGGUCAAUUACAGGUUUCAGGUUAUUACAUUCAAACAUGAUGCUCCUUUGUUUUGUUUUUUUGGCAAAUUUGUGCAGUGAAUUGUGUAAAACUGAGAUUUGCUGCUAAUUUCCCGACAGCUCUUUAAGUACUGUGUCGGGGGGGCACAGAAUACAUCGCCCCUUUAUUGCACUUAUGUGUGAUAUGGGAGACGAGAGAGGGGAUGGGAAUAAAAACAAUUGCUGUGAAGAGAAUAAUCAGAAUAUGUUUCGGAAUACUGGUUACCUCCUCUC